AAUUCCGUGCAUUUGUUCUUGAAAAGGCUUGUGCACAGUUCAAGACUGAGCUGUCCAACUAAGGGGGCAAACAUAGAAAAAAAAAAAAAAAAGAACGAAGAAGAAACUAGCACCAUUGAUGACAUGUACAAGAAUGGCAAGUGAGCAAAAUAUCCCCAGUCUGAUGGUGCAAAUACUGAUGUCCAUGUACAUGGGGGACCCAUAUCCCAUUUCAUGUGAUUUGAACAUUUACUAUGCUUGUUUUAUUUAUUUAUAUUAUUUUGACUGUACAUAUUGAUUA